rnacentral:rRNA from 1 species
AUAUUGGACAAUGGGGGAAACCCUGAUCCAGCAAUGCCGCGUGUGUGAAGAAGGCCUUCGGGUUGUAAAGCACUUUCGAUGGGGACGAAAAAAGUGGGGCUAAUACCCCCGCUCUUGACGGUACCCACAGAGGAAGCACCGGCUAACUCCGUGCCAGCAGCCGCGGUAAUACGGAGGGUGCGAGCGUUGUUCGGAAUUAUUGGGCGUAAAGCGCACGUAGGCGGCCCGUUAAGUCUCGUUGUGAAAGCCCGCGGCUCAACCGCGGGACUGCAGGGGAUACUGGGGGGCUGGAGACAGGUAGAGGCGAGCGGAAUUCCGGGUGUAGCGGUGGAAUGCGUAGAGAUCCGGAAGAACACCAGAGGCGAAGGCGGCUCGCUGGACCUAGUCUGACGCUGAGGUGCGAAAGCGUGGGGAGCGAACAGG